rnacentral:sRNA from 1 species
UGGACAGAGCAUAAUGACUGUGUUACUAUUUAUUCUUAGACAGUUUAUUAUUUGUACAUAUCAUUUUAAUCAUCUCAUCAUGUAUGUUGUCCUCUGUUUUAUUUUUGUGAUUUUUUUUACAAGUACAAUUGUACAAACUAGAAUCAAUAAGCCAGUAUUUUGAAAACUUUUGUUUAAUGACCGAAUUUCAAACAAACCAGUUUAUUAGGCAAAGUGUGCAUAAAAAAUGCGAAUUCAGGUGCAGUUUAGAUCAAUUUGCUUGUUAAACACGGUGCAUGUUUUACAAUGUAUACAAUAACCUCUCAAAGUUCAAGUUUUAUUCUGCUUAGAUGUCCAGCAUCCAAACUAUUCAUGUACCUAUGAGUGCAAUUCAUUUUAUCUGUCCUCCUUGAAUUAUGUAAACAUCAGCCAUUGCGUUAUUAUUAAGGUUAGCACUAAUGUAAUUAACUUUUAUUCAAUUUUACAUUGAUUUAUUCCUGAAAUGUAUUUUUUUUUUAAUUUUGUUGAUACACAGGUGAAAUUACAUGUGUAUUUGAUAUGUCCUUUACAAAAUACACACAUUCAAGUUAAACUUUGCUUUUGUGUAAUGCAAGGCACAUACUUACCUUAAAUACCGAUUCCUGCGAACAAGUGGACCUAGGCGCAAAAUUUUUACUUAUGUGCCGUGUGUUUAAAAUUAUGCAGAAAAUGAGAUAGUUUGUAGAAUACAUACAUGGGUCACUUAAUGACUGGUUUUUGUGAGACAGCAAUGCAAUGCUUCUUUCCUGAUGGACCUUAUUUAUGUGUGUCGUGAUUCAUCAACAUUGUUCCCAUCAUGCAAUACCAGACUUGUCAGAGUAUGAAUGAAAAUUUACCUCCAUGUUGUGGUAUGCGUGUGUGUGAGAGAGAGAGAGAGAGAGAGAGAGAGAGAUUUUAAUUAUAGCUGCUUUUUCUCUGGACAAAUAAAAAAAAUAUAAGAGUGAUGUGUAGUCUAAAGCUGUGAUAAAAUCAUAUUAGAAGUCUGAAUGAGUAUAACUGUAUAUGGAAUAAAUGGUCAGUCAUACCUCAUCUUUUUCAAAAAAUUUUAAAAGGUAACUCUUUAAAUGGCAACCAUUUAAAUCAAAAAAUUUCAUGGGAUUUACAGAUUCUAAAACUGAUUCUUUGGCAUAGUUAGAUGAUUUUUGUCAUUGUUUUUGGAUAACACGGGGCAUUACUUUAACCCAAAUCCUAAAAAUUUUGUCAGUGUAGUAGUUUGGAACACCUUUGAUUCUAAGCCCUAAAUGUAGUGUGUCAAGUAUUAAUUACGUGUUUGGUGUGAGAUUAUGUGGUGUGUCAUAUUGUGAGAGAAAUCCGAGGUGAUAAAAUAAAUAUACAGCUUUAAAACAAAAGAAAUCUUUUAACUUUUAGACUAAGUAUCUCUCUGACUCUAGAAUAUUUUUCACAAAAAAUGAUUUUUUGCAAGUUUAUUGCUUCAGAAUAAUACCUACCACAGUACAGAACAAGAAUAUAUAAUAUCCUACUAUGUUAUUUCAAUGAAUGUUUAUUCCCUGUUGGUCAGCAUAAUCCCACAAUUCUAAUGCUUAUGAGCCAAUUUUUAUCAGACCUGGCAUUAUGUUUAUCUGGGUAUGCAUGGACUCUUUCCAUCUUAAAACUGACGGUUCUGUUAAUAAACAAUUAAAAACUAAAUUGCCGGACAGAUUUCAGAUAAUUUCUAAAAAUAACUAAGAUUUCCACUUUCCCCAGUUAUUGUUUAAAAUUUCAUUUUGUUUUAGACGAAGAGCAUUAGUUUAAAAUUCACCCUCAAAUAUCAAUAUUUUAAAAAUAUUUAAAAAAAUUAUGUUUUUAUUACUUGUGAUUCUUUGUUGAUAAAUUAUGAAAAUCUUUUAGAAAAGUAAAUACAAUGUAUGCUGUUCUUGUAUAUGACUUCAGCAUUUUUAAAAUACUGCGACAAGAAAAACUCAAGUCAGGUACCUGAAUUUAGGCCUAACAUACAUAUGAUAGAACUGUAUAUUGCCACUAUUGUGUUGGAAUUUAUAAAGAUCAUUAAUUUAAUCUGCAUUAGUAUCAGUACUUCUCUUUGUAUGAUAAUUACAUUGCAUCCUUCACACAAAGACAAGACUCCAUGCAGGGAAAUAUCUAUUUGAAACAUAGAGAUAUAGCCAUGAAAGUGGGGGGAUUCUCAGACAUAUAGAAAAUAUUAUCUCAAAACAUUUUGCUAUUGUGAGAACAUGACUGUAAGGUGUGUUUUUUUUUCUAUAUUGACCAUUGUUGAUUCUCUUUAUUUCUAUGUGCAAUAUGCCAUGUGUAUAUAAAGUGAUGAAAAUUAAAAAAAAAAAAUCUG